rnacentral:tRNA from 1 species
GAGGUACUAGUAUAAAUAAUACAUAACUUUGUCAAAGUUAAAAUAUAAACUAACCUUUAUGUACCUCU